CUCACUGUGGCUUUUAGUGUCCUUCAUCUUUGUACUUGAGGGCUCGAUGCAGUGGUACUUCUGAAUUAGAAACUAAGACUGGUCAUUGGGUUCUUCAUGCCAGGGGAAAAUGGCAGAAAAGUGGGAUACUAUAUAGCUAGGGUGACUAACCAUGCCUAGUAAGAAUACUAUGAUUACUGCUGUGCAGUUAGGGAUCCACUAAGUUCCUAUCAUAUUCCUCCUUUCUUUUAUGUUCUUGGUGGAAAAGGUUAGUGGGAGACCGUUGUCCCUAUGUAGGUAAGACCACUAAGAAUGGAGGCCAUUCAAGAAUCAAGGUUCAGGCUACCCAUCAGGGACAUAGCUAAGGGACUAGCAGAAGGCAAGGAGAUCACAGAAUGGGCAUAAAUACCAGCUCUGGCUUCAGGAGAAGUGGCAGAUAGGAAGAAUAUGGCCUGUUUCCUUGAUUGUUGUGACAUGACUUAGAAAAAAGCAUCUUCUAUCCAUAUUGUUUGUAAAGUGUGUUGUUGAUGGUUAAGUAUUCCUUUUGGACUAUAGACUGAAGCAGAAUUUGAGGGGGAAUAAAUAUUAUCCAAAGUAGAACUCCUCAAAGUGGGGAACUGCAGGCUGGUGCCAGUGUUUGAACUGUUUAUUAUUGGUUCAUGAUGCAAGAAGUAUAGAAAUAGAGUUUUUAAAAUUACUCUGUUACAUUGCUCUCAAGGUUUCUGUGCCUACUGUAUAUAAUAAUAAAAAAAAUCAAGUGCUUCAUUUUAUGUUUAAUUUCAUUUAUCUAGCAAUUCAUCUUUAUUGCAUUUUCCCAGUGAAUUUGUCCAUGACAGAUUAGAAACAAAAAUUUACUGUUCCUUUACUAUAGAUGGUUUGAGAAAUGCUGAUCUUGUUGAGCAGUGUCCUUGUGAAAUCUAUUAUUACUCCUGGAUGCAGCAGCUUGUGUAACUUGGACUGCUUCCCACAGAGAAGGAGUUAUAUUGCUUUUGUCUUCCUCAAAUCUUGAUAAUAUUGAGGAGAAGCAGAUUGCCAUUGGAGGACUUGGUGAAGAUGUAAUUCUCCCUUGCUUAUUUAAGAGUGCGCCUGAAGUAGUAGUUCAUUGGAAGAAUCAAGAGAGCUAUGUGCACUCAUACUACAAAGACCAUGACUGGAAAGGCAAGAUCACAGAUACACAAACAGGACAUCCCUCUUACAUAGUGAAAUGGAAAUGCCUCCUUAUCAUUUAGAAGAUUAAGCCUUCCGGAUGAAGGAAUUUACAUAUGCUAUGUGGGAACAGCAUCUAGAAACCUCAUAAACAAAGCGGUACUAAAGGUGGGAGGUAAGUAUGCAUGGAAGGUUUGAUAAAACAUAGAAAUAAUAUCAUUCCAUGUUUUUCUAAAAUAUCUCUUUCUUAAUUGAAUAUGGACUACCUUGCAAGUCAAUACAAAUCUACCUCAUGUUUUAAAUGCAUGGUAUCUCAUAGUAUAGACAUGUUAUAACUGAUACAUCCAUUCCUCUACUGGUAGAUAUUCCAGUGUUUUACAUGACAGGUGUUGUGAUGAGCAUUCUUGUAUUUAAUAG
rnacentral:lncRNA from 1 species